AGUGAACGCUGGCGGCAGGCCUAACACAUGCAAGUCGAGCGGCAGCGGGUCCUUCGGGAUGCCGGCGAGCGGCGGACGGGUGAGGAAUGCAUCGGAAUCUGCCCUGUCGUGGGGGAUAACCUAGGGAAACUUAGGCUAAUACCGCAUACGACCCACGGGUGAAAGCGGGGGAUCGCAAGACCUCGCGCGAUAGGAUGAGCCGAUGUCCGAUUAGCUAGUUGGCGGGGUAAAGGCCCACCAAGGCGACGAUCGGUAGCUGGUCUGAGAGGAUGAUCAGCCACACUGGGGCUGAGACACGGCCCAGACUCCUACGGGAGGCAGCAGUGGGGAAUAUUGGACAAUGGGCGCAAGCCUGAUCCAGCCAUGCCGCGUGGGUGAAGAAGGCCUUCGGGUUGUAAAGCCCUUUUGUCCGGGAAGAAAUCGUCUGGGCUAAUACCCCGGGCGGAUGACGGUACCGGAAGAAUAAGCACCGGCUAACUUCGUG
rnacentral:rRNA from 1 species